rnacentral:rRNA from 1 species
GACAUAGGUGGCGAACGUUAUCCGGAAUUAUUGGGCGUAAAGGGUGCGUAGAUGGUAUGAUAAGUUAUCAGUGGUAAAUCGGGGCUCAACCUCGUGGAAGCUGGUAAUACUGUUAUACUUGAGUACAGGAGAAGUUAAUGGAAUUCCCUGUGGAGCGGUAAAAUGCGUUAGAUAUAGGGAAGAACACCAAUAACGGCGAAGGCAAUUAACUAUUCUGCUACUGACAUUGAGGCACGAAAGCGUGGGGAGCAAAAAGG